GCUCGCAGACCGGUUAGUCUGCUCCUCCCUUGACUGGACCGCUGUCGCCUGGUGCGACAGCGGCUUUUUUGUGCAGA
rnacentral:misc_RNA from 2 species